GCGGCCGCUCUGUUUGUUCCCGGCGGAGGUUACUGCUAUCGAGGUUCGACUAAGCCAUGCGAGUCGAAUGUAGCAAUACAUGGCGUACUGCUCAGUAACACGUGGACAACCUACCCUUAGGUCGGGGAUAAACCCGGGAAACUGGGUAUAAUACCCGAUAGUUCUGGGAAGCUGGAAUGCUUCCAGGACGAAAGCUCCGGCGACUGAGGAUGGGUCUGCGGCCUAUCAGGUAGUAGUGGGUGUAGCGUACCUACUAGCCUACGACGGGUACGGGUUGUGAGAGCAAGAGCCCGGAGAUGGAUUCUGAGACACGGAUUCAGGCCCUACGGGGUGCAGCAAGCGCGAAAACUUUACAAUGCUGGAAACAGCGAUAAGGGAACCUCGAGUGCCAGGUUACAAAUCUGGCUGUCGUGACGCCUAAAAAGCAUUGCAUAGCAAGGGCCGGGCAAGACCGGUGCCAGCCGCCGCGGUAACACCGGCGGCUCGAGUGGUAACCGUUAUUAUUGGGUCUAAAGGGUCUGUAGCCGGCCGGAUAAGUCUCUUGGGAAAUCUGGCAGCUUAACUGUCAGGCUUUCAGGGGAUACUGUCUGGCUCGAGGCCGGGAAGAGGGUGAGAGGUACUUCAGGGGUAGGGGUGAAAUCUUGUAAUCCUUGAAGGACCACCAGUGGCGAAGGCGUCUCACCAGAACGGACCUGACGGCAAGGGACGAAAGCUAGGGGCACGAACCGGAUUAGAUACCCGGGUAGUCCUAGCCGUAAACGAUACUCGCUAGGUGUCGGCCACGGUGCGACCGUGGUCGGUGCCGUAGGGAAGCCGUGAAGCGAGCCACCUGGGAAGUACGGCCGCAAGGCUGAAACUUAAAGGAAUUGGCGGGGGAGCACCACAACGGGUGGAGCUUGCGGUUUAAUUGGAUUCAACGCCGGAAAUCUUACCGGGACCGACAGCAAUAUGAAGGCCAGGCUGAAGACUUUGCCGGAUUAGCUGAGAGGUGGUGCAUGGCCGUCGUCAGUUCGUACUGUGAAGCAUCCUGUUAAGUCAGGCAACGAGCGAGACCC
rnacentral:rRNA from 1 species